AGAGUUUGAUCCUGGCUCAGAGCGAACGCUUGCGGCGUGGAUUAGGCAUGCAAGUCGAACGGGAUCCAAUUGGUUCAAUUCUUCGGAAGAGAGCCUUUUGGUGAGAGUGGCGAACGGGUGAGGAACACGUGGGCAAUUUGCCCCCAAGUUCGGGACAGCCUCGGGAAACCGGGAUUAAUACCGGAUGUGAUCGUUCAUCGCAUGGUGAACUGUUUAAAGGUGGGGAUCCUUCGGGACCUGCCGCUUAGGGAUGAGCCCGCGGCCCAUCAGCUUGUUGGUAGGGUAACGGCCUACCAAGGCGAUAACGGGUAGCUGGUCUGAGAGGAUGGUCAGCCACACUGGGACUGAGACACUGCCCAGACUCCUACGGGAGGCUGCAGUCGAGAAUCAUUCGCAAUGCACGAAAGUGUGACGAUGCGACGCCGCGUGGAGGAUGACGGCCCUAGGGUUGUAAACUCCUGUCAUGAGGGAACAAGAGCACGGGUGUGAAUAGCGCUCGUGUUUGAUGGUACCUCAAAAGGAAGCCACGGCUAACUCUGUGCCAGCAGCCGCGGUAAUACAGAGGUGGCGAGCGUUGCUCGGAUUUACUGGGCGUAAAGGGUGCGUAGGCGGCGUGGUAUGUCGGGUGUGAAAUCUCACCGUCCAACGGUGAAACUGCAUUCGAAACUGCCGCGCUUGAGACCAGGAGGGGAGAGCGGAAUUCUUGGUGUAGCGGUGAAAUGCGUAGAUAUCAAGAGGAACGCCGGUGGCGAAGGCGGCUCUCUGGACUGGAACUGACGCUGAGGCACGAAAGCUGGGGGAGCGAAGAGGAUUAGAUACCCUCGUAGUCCCAGCCGUAAACGUUGUGUACUUGGUGUGGGCGGCUUUGUCCCCGUCCGUGCCGGAGCUAACGCGUUAAGUACACCGCCUGGGGAGUACGGCCGCAAGGCUAAAACUCAAAGGAAUUGACGGGGGCCCGCACAAGCGGUGGAGCAUGUGGCUUAAUUCGAUGCAACGCGAAGAACCUUACCUGGGCUUGACAUCCAACUGCACGCCCUGUGAAAGCAGGGAAGCCUUCGAGGGUGUUGGACAGGUGCUGCAUGGCUGUCGUCAGCUCGUGCCGUGAGGUGUUGGGUUAAGUCCCGCAACGAGCGCAACCCUUGUGAUUAGUUGCCACUUCGGCAGAAAUGCCGGAAGCACUCUAAUCAGACUGCCCGUUACAAGCGGGAGGAAGGUGGGGAUGACGUCAAGUCAGUAUGGCCCUUAUGUCCAGGGCUGCACACGUGCUACAAUGGACGGUACAGUGCGACGCAAGACCGCGAGGUGGAGCAAAUCGCCAAAACCGUCCGCAGUUCGGAUUGGAGUCUGCAACUCGACUCCAUGAAGCUGGAAUCGCUAGUAAAGGCGUAUCAGCUACGACGCCUUGAAUACGUUCCCGGGCCUUGUACACACCGCCCGUCACAUCACGAAAGUCGACUGCACCCGAAGUCGCCGGGCUAACCCGCAAGGGAGGCAGGUGCCGAAGGUGUGGUGGAUGAUUGGGAUGAAGUCGGAACAAGGUA
rnacentral:rRNA from 1 species